GUUAGGUUAGUUGGUGGGGUAAAGGCUCACCAAGCCAACGAUCUGUAGCUGGUCUGAGAGGACGACCAGCCACACUGGAACUGAGACACGGUCCAGACUCCUACGGGAGGCAGCAGUGGGGAAUUUUGGACAAUGGGCGCAAGCCUGAUCCAGCCAUUCCGCGUGCAGGAUGAAGGCCUUCGGGUUGUAAACUGCUUUUGUACGGAACGAAACGGUCUGCCCUAAUACGGCAGGCUAAUGACGGUACCGUAAGAAUAAGCACCGGCUAACUACGUG
rnacentral:rRNA from 1 species